AUUGAACGCUAGCGGCAGGCCUAACCCAUGCAAGUCGAGCGGAUGAAGGGAGCUUGCUCCUGGAUUCAGCGGCGGACGGGUGAGUAAUGCCUAGGAAUCUGCCUGGUAGUGGGGGAUAACGUCCGGAAACGGGCGCUAAUACCGCAUACGUCCUGAGGGAGAAAGUGGGGGAUCUUCGGACCUCACGCUAUCAGAUGAGCCUAGGUCGGAUUAGCUAGUUGGUGGGGUAAAGGCCUACCAAGGCGACGAUCCGUAACUGGUCUGAGAGGAUGAUCAGUCACACUGGAACUGAGACACGGUCCAGACUCCUACGGGAGGCAGCAGUGGGGAAUAUUGGACAAUGGGCGAAAGCCUGAUCCAGCCAUGCCGCGUGUGUGAAGAAGGUCUUCGGAUUGUAAAGCACUUUAAGUUGGGAGGAAGGGCAGUAAGUUAAUACCUUGCUGUUUUGACGUUACCAACAGAAUAAGCACCGGCUAACUUCGUG
rnacentral:rRNA from 1 species